UGCGGAAGGAUCAUUAAUGAAAUACCAUUUUGAAACGGGUUGUAAAAAGCUGGCCCCCCCCCUACCCUUAUCUACCAUCUACGUGUCUUUUGAGCUAGUUUAGAGCACCCAAGGGCCGAGGAUGUACCCACUGGCACUUAGGUUGUCCCAUUAUGGAACGUGCGGUUUCCUGUUGGCUCUGCUCUGAGCGAACACUCACAGCGCAAGCUGCUGUGGGCUGCUUGAGACAACGGAAAAACAAAUAAAAAGGGGGGCAUGUGCACGCCCUGCUCAUUCCACUUUCAUACCCCUGUGCACAUAUAGUAGGCUAUGGUCGGAUGGCUGACUUCACGGUCGGUUGGAAAGCCUUGUCCUAUGUCUUCACACAAACGCUUCAGUUUAAAGAAUGUCUUGCUGCGCUUGGCGCAACGAAAAUAUACAACUUUCAGCAACGGAUCUCUUGGCUCUCGCAUCGAUGAAGAACGCAGCGAAAUGCGAUAAGUAAUGUGAAUUGCAGAAUUCAGUGAAUCAUCGAAUCUUUGAACGCACCUUGCGCUCCUUGGUAUUCCGAGGAGCAUGCCUGUUUGAGUGUCAUGGAACUCUCAACCUUCAACGCUUUUGCGAGUGACGAAGGCUUGGACUUGGAGGUCGUGUUGGCGCAAGUCAACUCCUCUGAAAUGCAUUAGUGUGAACCUCACGGAUCGCCUUCAGCGUGAUAAUUAUCUGCGCUGUGGACGUUGAAGUGUUUCUGUGUUCGUGCUUCUAACUGUCCGCGAGGACAAGCAAAACAUUUGACAAUCUGACCUCAAAUCAGGUAGGACUACCCGCUGAACUUAA
rnacentral:rRNA from 1 species